rnacentral:rRNA from 1 species
GCCGUACCAUGCUGAAUAUACCGGUUCUCGUUAGAUCACCGAAGUUAAGCAUCAUUGGGCGCGGUCAGUACUUGGGUGGGUGACCACCUGGGAACACUGCGUGCCGUU